CCGCCGUCCCGGGCCGCACUGCGGCUGCGCACAGGUCGCGCCCGGCAGCGAUGGCUGAAGAGCCGACCGCGGCAGUCUGACGCCGCCCGCAGCCUGCCCCCGGCCCGGCGGGGCCCGGCCCGUCUCCACCCGGGCCGCGCUAGUGCCCGCGCUGCCAGGGCCAGAGGCCAGCGCGCUGCAGGGCAAGACCCAGAACUCCACCCGUUCAGGGAAGCAAAGCCCAGAGGACAAAGUCUAGCAGAGUGGAAGGAGCAGUCAUUAGGGUGCGUGGCUGCUGAACCAGCUGGACAUCAUGAGGUGCAGAUUCUCUAGUCUGGACUGUUUUGUGCAGGAUGAAGGUGCCAGCCUCAUAAAACUUCAGCAGCCAGUUGGAAAGUUCACUGUGACCACCUGAGUCUAUCUAGCACAAAAAGCAGCAUAUUUUAGAGCCUUGCAACUGGUCAAUGGAAACUAAUGCACUUUGUCACACUGCAGCAGACAAUCAACAAUGUGCUGCUCUCUUGGUUCUGCAAGCAGCUUGUGCAAUCCCUUGAUCAAUGCUGACACCUUGACGCCUUGAUGCUGAUGCCUCAAUUACCUGAAGCAUGACCCUCCUCCAGUAAAGCUCUGUAUGUGAAAGGAUUGCAAUUUGAGAGUCAUCCAUAUAUAAAAUGGCAUUAAAUGCUACCUGGCCACGGUGACACAGGACUAAUUGCCAACACUCUGGGAGGCUGAGCAUUGAACGUGAAAUUUGAGCAAUGAAAUGUAUUUUUAAAGACUACCUAAACUGAGCUGAAACAACAGAGUUGUGGAAUUCAGCUAUGGAACAACCCUCAUAUGGGGAACCCUGGAGGAUGUCAAACAUCAUGGAACUCCACUGCUCUGCCAGACCCUAGGGAAGAAGCUGGAAAAGCGAGUGCAGCAAUCUCAGUGACCAAGGGAUCGAACUCAGGACUGCCUGCUUGCAAGGUUAUCACAUGCCGGGCAGCCAUUGCCUGGACAGCAAAUGCCCCACUGUCCAUUGAGGAGGUUGAAGUUGAUCCACCAAAGCCUGGAGAAGUUCGAAUUAAGAUUGUAUCCUCUGGGCUCUGCGGUACUGAUAAACACAUCUUGGAAGGGAAAGACAAAGUGCCACUCCCUGCAAUUUUGGGCCAUGAGGGAACUGGCAUCGUAGAGAGUAUUGGAGAAGGUGUAACCACUGUCCAGCCAGGAGAUAAAGUCUUAAUAUUUCUUCUUCCUGAGUGUGGAGAAUGUAGAUUCUGCUUGCACCCCAAGGGGAACAUGUGUGUUAAGGAGAAUAUCCUCUCACCAACUGGAUUAAUGUUAGAUGGAACCAGCAGGUUUACAUGCAGGGGAAGGAAGAUUUACCAUCUUUAUGGCACCAGCACAUUCACCGAAUAUACUGUAGUCCAUGAAAUUGCGGUGGGAAAAAUCGAUGCUGCUGCUCCUUUGGAUAAGGUCUGCAUCAUGAGCUGUGCAGUGCCUACAGGCUUUGGAGUUGUGUUUAACACUGCCAGGGUCACCCCAGGUUCCACCUGUGUGAUUUUUGGACUCGGAGGAAUUGGCUCAGCAGUUGUCAUGGGCUGCAAAGCCUCUGGUGCCUCCAGGAUCAUUGGGGUUGACAUCAUUGAAGACAAGUUUCCCUGGGCGAGAGCACUCGGAGUCACUGACUGUCUCAACCCACAGAACCUCAAGAGACCUGUCCAGGAGGUGGUGGUGGAAAUGACAGGUGGUGGUGCUGACUUUGCCUUUGAAGCUGUUGGACUCACUGAUACCAUGGUUGCAGCUUUUGAGUCAUGCCACGUGAGCUACGGGGUGUGUGUGAUUAUCGGAGUAGCACCCUCUGCUGCAAAACUCUCUUUUGACCCACUGAUGCUUCUUCCGGGUAGGACUCUGAAGGGGGCCACCUUGGGAGAGUAUAAAACAAGAUCCUGUAUUCCUAAACUGGUAACAGAUUAUAUGCAAAGAAAAUUUAACACGGAUUCACUUAUAACCCAUCAGUUUCCUUUUGAAAAAAUUAACAAGGCAUUUGAACUGUUCUGCAGUGAACACUGGGGCACUGACAUUUAAUCCAGAGGUUUGCUUCUGUCAAUAAUCUUUCUGCAUCUUGAGGUUUCAAAUAACACCAGGAAUUCUUUCAAGUUUUAUGUGCACACCUGUAAUCCCAGAACUUGGGAGGCUGAAGUAGGAUAAUCAGUGUGAAUUAACUGGACUAAGACGUGAAUCCGCAGUCAACCUGAACUGCAUGGGGAAAACAUGUCUCAAAGAAACAGAAAAAAUAUCAUAUUAUUGUGGAUAUCCUUGGAAGAAGAACUCAAAAGUUUGAAACUCUUAAGAUCAUACCUAUUAUGUUUCAUCUGGUGAGUAUAAGAGACCAGUAAAACUACCUUCAAGGAUAUGGAGAAAACUCAAAAAAUCUUAUUGCAAACUGUCAUAUAGAUGUAAUGCAUUGCCCACCAAAAUAUCAGUAGGAUAGCUUACAAAUGUAGAGAAAACAUUUCUAAAAUUCAUCUGGAAACAGAAAUGCUCUAGAUCACCAAAGACAUUGCUGGGCAACAAAGGCAAGUCUGGAAGCAUCACAAUUCCUGACUUGCUAUUAUACUAGAAAGCUACUAUUAGAAAAUCAGCAUAGUUAUGGCAGAAAAACAGACCUGAGAAUCAACCAAAAAGACUAGAAGAUGCAAAUAGAACUACAAACACACUCUGCUACUUUGUGUUUGACAAAGGAGCCAAACAUGUUCACUGGAAGAGAGAUAGCCUCUUCAAUAAAUGGUGCUGAAGAAAAUGACUUUUCUCAUACUGAAGACUUAAACUGGAGACAAGUCUAUCACUAUGAAACAAACAAAAGUCAAACUAGAUUAGAUCUAAAUAUUAAAACAAAAACACUAAUGAGGCUUCAUGAACAAAAUACAAAUUUUAAAGAAUCAACCACUGGGACUCCAUCUUAUUAAAAAUAUUUCUACAUCAAAAGAAAUCACUAACAGAGUGAAAAGACAAUGCACAGAAUGGGUCACUAAUAUCUUUCUAUUUAUGAUAAUCUCUUCAAUAUCCUUUUCCAAAGUACUAUAAUUUUCAAUAUUACAGGUGAUCAAACUCAUGACCACACAAUUGCAAGGCAGAUGCUUAUGCCACUGAGCUAAAUCCCCAGCCAUGUCAUUGUUUGAUUUUAUCAGCUUGAGGUUUGAUACUUGUUCCUGUCAUCAUCCAACAAUACCAGAUGUCAGUGCUGAGUCUUUAAAACAGGUACAUUUUAUGUUUCAUGUUGGGGUCUUUUCCUAGAAACCAAGAUGCCAAAAAGGUGUACCAAAAAGGCUCUAAGAAAUGAGAAACACAGCAUGGUCUUCAGGGCUGCAGGAGGAGAGAGAUCCUUGGCAGAGCUCAUCACUCUGCUAGACAGCUGGCCAACCUCAUGCAGGCAGGAGUUGAGUGGACAAGUGAGGAAACCUGAACAGGAUCUUGGGAGAGGUUCAAGACCUACUGCAAGCAACAGACGAUGGUAACUGCAGAGAGCUAUCCCACAGAAAGUGUCUAGGUGGCCUCAGCUGUGGCCUAUCUUGUGACUUGAGGCGUCUCUUUAUUCUCGGUUCAAUCAUGCCUGUGCCACAUCACAGCGCUGAAUGAGUAUUCAGCUUCAAUGGCUCCAACAUUUCCCUCCUUUUUGUUUGGUUGAUACACAGAUGGGUGACCAGUUGAAGAUGUAGAAGUUGUGUUAGAGAUCCCACCACUGCACAGUCCAUCCGUCCAUAAUGGUAGUCAGUUACCAGCAUAGACAGCAAUUGUCAGAUGAUGUUAGUGAUAUGAGAUUCACCCAUAGACAAUAUUUUAGAAUUGCACUGUACCUCCCAAGUCCAGACUUUGCUGCAGAAGGUUCAAGAUCAAGCUAACAUAAGGAUUACACUAAGGACAAUGGGUUCGUUACUUCCUAUCAAGGCCAGUUCUUAUAACCAUGCAUAGCUCCUCAUAUCUCUUCUGUCAGUGUCUGCCACCUGGAAGAGUCAUGGCCAUUGCUUGACCAUGUUGAUUUCUGUGAAAAUUUAGGAGAUUUUUCUGGUGACUCGUGACUCUCCUUAGGCACACCUUGCAUCAAAGGUCACUUUCCUCUGUGGUCUCAUCAUCUUCCUGAUCAGAAUACUAGGUACUCACUGGUUAUCUUCUGAUGAUGAAAGCAGGAUUUCUUUUACAUCCUGAGUCUCCUCCAAGUUUGAAGUGCUGUGGACAAAAUAUUGGCUAUCCAUUUAGCCCAUCUGUGUCUCUCAUUUUUGGUCCUAAACCUUAGCUGUUGGACAUCCAGAAGAAAAGAUUGAUCACAAUGCAAUACAUUAGAGGCAGUAAGCUUAACAUUACUAUUUUAUCUAAACAUGAAACACCUUAGAACAUUAAGUGAAAUGUAUUUUCUACUACCCAUGGAUAUUUUAACAUUUGAAUACCUACAGUGUUAACAGUGACAUAUUUUACAUAGUAAAUCAGAAAUCAGAACCAUACAUGUUAUUGUAUUAUGACAUCCUGGCAAUAAUCUGAAUUUCUCUUUUGACAUAAAAUAUCCAUUUUAGUCAAGCACCCUUAUCAAAUACCCAAGAAGUCUCUUAUGUAUCAUUGACCAAUUUAUUGGACUUUAGUGGAAUGUGAAUCUCACAAGUCUUUGGGAUUAGGAGAGGUAUGAACAUGGGAAAAAAGUCUGCUACCAUAAGCAAUCCCCAUUUUACAAUCUUGGAGGCCUAUGCCUCCAGAAAUAUGAAUAUAUCAAAUACAUCAUCAAUUUGACAAAAAUAAGCAGUCAUGAGCCCAUUUCAUAAUAAACUAUCAUAUCAUUUACUAAAAAGAGUACACUGAUGAGUAAUUGUUGUUCAUCAUUGGCAUUUGGUGGUGAUGGAGCAGUGCUUGCUGCUGCUCUCCACAGAAAAGUGACUAUUGCUGCAGUAACAGGAAUAUGCAUGAAUCACUGCAAUAUGUCCUUAACUCUUGGGGGAAGAGACCCACUAAAGGAAGCACUGCACUUAGUGAACUUACUAUGUUUAAUCAUUUGAAUACUUUGAACACUGACUUCAGUAGUGGCUGAAAUACUUGCUUACAUUUCCACCAACAAAGUUAAAUAGUUUCCUGAUGUCUCAUGAGUGUUCUUUUGAUCUUGUGGUGAUUUGUCUCUGCAAUGACAUGGUGUACUGAUUUGCAUUUCUCUAUUGUGCAUAAAUGCUCAAUAGUUCUUCAGGUAUUUCUUGACAAUUUGUACCUGUUCUGAAAAGUGUGUAUUCAUUUCACAUUUCUAUUGGAUUUACAUGUUAGCUGUCAAGGAGUAACAUGCAAUCUUCUCCUAUCCUGUAGAUUGUUUCUUCAUCCUUUAUAUUUGACUUUUUUUGGUUUGUUUGUUUUUUGGCUUCUUCAUUUGUGCACAACUAUUAAAUUAUUAUAUAGUCAUUUUUAGUGUUUUGUUGCCCUAUCUUAUUUCCUAUAAAAAGCACCACCAAUAGCAUUGAGUAAAAAAGUUUUGAUAAUGCCUCUACUUUCAGAACCUAGAAUGCCUUGCUCAUUCAUGUUUCACUAUGUUUUACUCUAAUAUGGGCAUAUUUAAGACUGCUGCACAAAUUACCAUGAUAUGCACAUUUCCUGGGCCAAAAAAAAAGAAAUCAUGAUUUUCAUGAUUCAGCUAUCCUAUCCUACAUUUAUAUUCUUGACCUAAACUUACCUGUUUCCUUAAACUUCAAAUGCAGGUAUAAAAACACCUACCACACAUUCUGCUAAAUCACCUAGCAAAAUUGCUUCACAAAGUCAGCUUCAAAGCUGUGAUUGUUCCGUCUCAUCCUCUGCUGAUGCUGGGACUAAAAGAAUCACACUUAGCCGAAGGCUUUAUACAUAAGUCCUUACCAGUGCAAUUAUUUAAAUAAAAGAUAAUUAAAUAUUGCAUACAUUUGUUAGUUUUUCUAAAAUAACAGCAAAUAUAAAAAUGACUAUUGUAAUGUGUUCAAUACAAGAAUCAACUGGUUAAAAUGACAA